GGUACCCCUAGAGAUGUUUCAGGUGUGGCUACUAGGACACAUGUAUGUCACUACGUGGCAGAGAAAAGAAGCUGUGCCUAUGCUCAGUGUUCUGACCUGUGAACACUGAAUUAUUAGUAGCCCAACAUG